UGAGUAAUGUCUGGGAAACUGCCCGAUGGAGGGGGAUAACUACUGGAAACGGUAGCUAAUACCGCAUAACGUCUUCGGACCAAAGUGGGGGACCUUCGGGCCUCACACCAUCGGAUGUGCCCAGAUGGGAUUAGCUAGUAGGUGGGGUAAUGGCUCACCUAGGCGACGAUCCCUAGCUGGUCUGAGAGGAUGACCAGCCACACUGGAACUGAGACACGGUCCAGACUCCUACGGGAGGCAGCAGUGGGGAAUAUUGCACAAUGGGCGCAAGCCUGAUGCAGCCAUGCCGCGUGUAUGAAGAAGGCCUUCGGGUUGUAAAGUACUUUCAGUGGGGAGGAAGGCGUUAAGGUUAAUAACCUUGACGAUUGACGUUACCCGCAGAAGAAGCACCGGCUAACUCCGUGCCAGCAGCCGCGGUAAUACGGAGGGUGCAAGCGUUAAUCGGAACUACUGGGCGUAAAGCGCACGCAGGCGGUCUGUCAAGUCAGAUGUGAAAUCCCCGGG
rnacentral:rRNA from 1 species